rnacentral:rRNA from 1 species
CCUACGGGAGGCAGCAGUGGGGAAUAUUGGGCAAUGGGCGCAAGCCUGACCCAGCAACGCCGCGUGAAGGAAGAAGGCUUUCGGGUUGUAAACUUCUUUUGUCAGGGACGAAGCAAGUGACGGUACCUGACUAAUAAGCCACGGCUAACUACGUGCCAGCAGCCGCGGUAAUACGUAGGUGGCAAGCGUUAUCCGGAUUUACUGGGUGUAAAGGGCGUGUAGGCGGGGAGGUAAGUCAGAUGUGAAAACCACGGGCUCAACCUGUAGCCUGCAUUUGAAACUGUUUUUCUUGAGUGCAGGAGAGGCAAUCGGAAUUCCGGGUGUAGCGGUGAAAUGCGUAGAUAUACGGAGGAACACCAGUGGCGAAGGCGGAUUGCUGGACAGUAACUGACGCUGAGGCGCGAAAGCGUGGGGAGCAAACAGGAUUAGAUACCCCAGUAGUC